rnacentral:lncRNA from 1 species
AGAAAUGAAGUUGGAUGAGAUGAAGCAGAGCUUUAUCUCAAGAAAAUUACAUAGCUCCUAUAGGCAAAGACCAUCACAUCUGCCUAGGUAUCCAGCAACAGAAUCAGACCAAGGCAGUGGGAGACUGAGGCCACCUCUCUACCACCAGCAGAGACAGGGUCUUGCUCUUGUUACCCAGGCUGGUCUUGAACUCCUGGGCUCAAAUGAUCCUCCUGCCUUGGCCUCCCAAAGUGCUGGGAUUACAGAUGUGAGCCACUGCAACUGGCCUGGUGUAGGAGUCUUAUUUUUCUGUCAGAGGAGGGCGUUCCCUUGGCUCAGAGCCUUGCUUAGCCUUCCAACAGCAACAUGAAGUUGGCAGCCUUCCUCCUCCUGUGAUCCUCAUCAUCUUCAGCCUAGAGGUACAAGAGCUUCAGGCUGCAGGAGACCGGCUUUUGGGUGUCUGACCCUUCUCAACACAGCAUCAGACAGCCACCUCUAUUGACUGAAGUUGACAAUGGAGAAUAAAACUCAUUACCCCUGCUGAAUCCAGGGGCCCCUUUUUACAGAUGAGAAAAGUUCCAGAAAGACCCAGAGACAUAAUCAGGUACCUGCGUCGAGCUCUGCACAGGUGACUGGGACUGCAACCCCGGAGACCACUGUGUCAGCAAUGGGUGUGGCCAUGAGUGUGUUGCAGGGUAAGGACAGAUGAAGAGUUAUCUUAAGGAUCAUCUUUCCCUAAGAUCGUCAUCCCUUCCUGGAGUUCCUAUCUUCCAAGAUGUGACUGUCUGGAGUUCCUUGACUAGGAAGAUGGAUGAAAACAGCAAGCCUGUGGAUGGAGACUACAGGGGAUAUGGGAGGCAGGGAAGAGGGGUUGUUUCUUUUAAUAAAUCAUCAUUGUUAAAAGCACUC